GACGAACGCUGGCGGCGUGCUUAACACAUGCAAGUCGAACGGAAAGGCCCUGCUUUUGUGGGGUGCUCGAGCGGCGAACGGGUGAGUAACACGUGAGUAACCUGCCCUUGACUUUGGGAUAACUUCAGGAAACUGGGGCUAAUACCGGAUAGGAGCUCCUGCUGCAUGGUGGGGGUUGGAAAGUUUCGGCGGUUGGGGAUGGACUCGCGGCUUAUCAGCUUGUUGGUGGGGUAGUGGCUUACCAAGGCUUUGACGGGUAGCCGGCCUGAGAGGGUGACCGGCCACAUUGGGACUGAGAUACGGCCCAGACUCCUACGGGAGGCAGCAGGGGGGAAUAUUGCACAAUGGGCGGAAGCCUGAUGCAGCAACGCCGCGUGCGGGAUGACGGCCUUCGGGUUGUAAACCGCUUUCGCCUGUGACGAAGCGUGAGUGACGGUAAUGGGUAAAGAAGCACCGGCUAACUACGUG
rnacentral:rRNA from 1 species